ensembl:misc_RNA Metazoa_SRP Metazoan signal recognition particle RNA
GCCGGAUGUGGUGGAGCACACCUGUAGUCCCAGCUACUUGGGAGGUUGACGCGGGCGGAUUGCUUGAGCCCAGGAGGUUGAGGCUGCAGUGAGCUGUGGUUGCACCUCUGCAAUCUAGCCUGGGCAACAAAGCAAGACCCUGUCUCUA